CCAAUAGCGUAUAUUAAAGUUGUUGCAGUUAAAAAGCUCGUAGUUGAAUUUCGGGAUCAAUAUAUCGGUCGUGCCAUCGGUACGUACUGGUAUCAUUGGUUUCUCCUUUCUGACGAACCAUGAUGUCAUUAAUUUGGUGUUAUGGGAAGUUAGGACUGUUACUUUGAAAAAAUUAGAGUGUUUAAAGCAGGCUUUAGCUUGAAUACAUUAGCAUGGAAUAAUGAAAUAGGACGUUCGAACCUAUUUUGUUGGUUUCUAGGAUCAACGUAAUGAUUAAUAGGGAUAGUUGGGGGCAUUAGUAUUCAAUUGUCAGAGGUGAAAUUCUUGGAUUUAUUGAAGACUAACUACUGUGAAAGCAUUUGCCAAGGAUGUUUUCAUUAAUCAAGAACGAAAGUUAGGGGAUCGAAGACGAUCAGAUACCGUCGUAGUCUUAACCAUAAACUAUGCCGACUAGGGAUCGGAUGAUGUUAAUUUUUUAAUGACUCAUUCGGCGCCUUACG
rnacentral:misc_RNA from 1 species